GUGAAAUGAUGAUGACGUUCAUCCAUUCUCCAAACAUGCUGCCUGUCUGCCUGGCGCUUUGGGACUCUCGUUCUGGGGGCUCUGAGCUAUGCAGCCACCACACACCCUGAAGUCUUCCAGCAUUCUGUUGGGGACAGUGGGUGGGUGUGGGCCUGCGGUCAGGAAUGAGACAGGGGCAGCCAAGAUGGUGCCCUUUUGUUUGGGGUCCCAUCGGGCUGAGAUGAAGGCUGAUAGUCUGAUCGC
ensembl:snoRNA